rnacentral:rRNA from 1 species
AGAGUUUGAUCAUGGCUCAGAUUGAACGCUGGCGGCAGGCCUAACACAUGCAAGUCGAGCGGAAACGAAGAGGUGCUUGCACCUUUGGCGUCGAGCGGCGGACGGGUGAGUAAUGCUUGGGAAUAUGCCUUAUGGUGGGGGACAACAGUUGGAAACGACUGCUAAUACCGCAUGAUGUCUACGGACCAAAGUGGGGGACCUUCGGGCCUCACGCCAUAAGAUUAGCCCAAGUGGGAUUAGCUAGUUGGUGAGGUAAUGGCUCACCAAGGCGACGAUCCCUAGCUGGUUUGAGAGGAUGAUCAGCCACACUGGGACUGAGACACGGCCCAGACUCCUACGGGAGGCAGCAGUGGGGAAUAUUGCACAAUGGGCGCAAGCCUGAUGCAGCCAUGCCGCGUGUGUGAAGAAGGCCUUCGGGUUGUAAAGCACUUUCAGUAAGGAGGAAAGGUUAAGUGUUAAUAGCACUUAGCUGUGACGUUACUUACAGAAGAACACCGGCUAACUCCGUGCCAGCAGCCGCGGUAAUACGGAGGGUGCGAGCGUUAAUCGGAAUUACUGGGCGUAAAGCGUACGCAGGCGGUUCGUUAAGCGAGAUGUGAAAGCCCCGGGCUCAACCUGGGAACUGCAUUUCGAACUGGCAAACUAGAGUGUGAUAGAGGGUGGUAGAAUUUCAGGUGUAGCGGUGAAAUGCGUAGAGAUCUGAAGGAAUACCGAUGGCGAAGGCAGCCACCUGGGUCAACACUGACGCUCAUGUACGAAAGCGUGGGGAGCAAACAGGAUUAGAUACCCUGGUAGUCCACGCCGUAAACGAUGUCUACUAGAAGCUCGGGUCUUCGGACUUGUUUUUCAAAGCUAACGCAUUAAGUAGACCGCCUGGGGAGUACGGCCGCAAGGUUAAAACUCAAAUGAAUUGACGGGGGCCCGCACAAGCGGUGGAGCAUGUGGUUUAAUUCGAUGCAACGCGAAGAACCUUACCUACACUUGACAUACAGGGAACUUACCCAGAGAUGGUUUGGUGGCCUUCGGGAACUCUGAUACAGGUGCUGCAUGGCGUCGUCAGCUCGUGUUGUGAGAUGUUGGUUUAAGUCCCGCAACGAGCGCAACCCCUAUCCCUUAGUUGCCAGCGAUUCGGUCGGGAACUCUAAGGAGACUGCCGGUGAUAAACCGGAGGAAGGUGGGGACGACGUCAAGUCAUCAUGGCCCUUACGUGUAGGGCUACACACGUGCUACAAUGGCGCAUACAGAGUGCUGCGAACCUGCGAGGGUAAGCGAAUCACUUAAAGUGCGUCGUAGUCCGGAUUGGAGUCUGCAACUCGACUGCCAUGAAGUCGGAAUCGCUAGUAAUCGCGUAUCAGAAUGACGCGGUGAAUACGUUUCCCGGGCCUUGUACACACCGCCCGUCACACCAUGGGAGUGGGUUGCUCCAGAAGUGGAUAGUCUAACCUUCGG